rnacentral:rRNA from 1 species
AGUGAACGCUGGCGGUAGGCCUAACACAUGCAAGUCGAACGGAAGCACAGUAAGAGCUUGCUCUUACGGGUGGCGAGUGGCGGACGGGUGAGGAAUACUUCGGAAUCUACUUUUUCGUGGGGGAUAACGUAGGGAAACUUACGCUAAUACCGCAUACGACCUACGGGUGAAAGCAGGGGAUCUUCGGACCUUGCGCGAUUGAAUGAGCCGAUGUCGGAUUAGCUAGUUGGCGGGGUAAAGGCCCACCAAGGCGACGCUCCGUAGCUGGUCUGAGAGGAUGAUCGGCCACACUGGAACUGGGACACGGUCCAGACUCCUACGGGAGGCAGCAGUGGGGAAUAUUGGACAAUGGGCGCAGGCCUGAUCCAGCCAUACCGCGUGGGUGAAGAAGGCCUUCGGGUUGUAAAGCCCUUUUGUUGGGAAAGAAAAGCAGCAGGUUAAUACCCCGCUGUUCUGACGGUACCCAAAGAAUAAGCACCGGCUAACUUCGU